GUUAAAUUAAAAUAAAUUAAUAGAAGAUAUUAAAUGUUAUAUCAUUAAAUUUAAAAGAUUUGGCGGUACUUGAAAAUUAGAGGAACCUGUAUAGUAAUUGAUAAUCCACGAUAAGAAUUACUUAAAAUAAAAUUUAUGUAUUGCUGUUUUCAAUAUUUAAUUAAUUUAGAUAUAUAUAAUUAAUAAUUAUUAAAAAAUUCAAGUCAAAAUAUAGUUUUUUUAAGAUUAAUAUGGGUUACAUUUAAUUUAAUUAAAUAAAUUGAAUUAAAAAUUUUAAAAUUUUUAUGAAAAUGGAUUUAAAAGUAAAUUUAAUAAAUUAAUUAAUUUGAAAAAAAAGUUAAGUAUGU
rnacentral:rRNA from 1 species